CUGCCCUUAACCCAGGCCCCAGAGGUGUGAGGUGUGGAUGAAAUACCCCACAAUGUCUCCUCCUGUUAGAAGGGGCUGGGGCCCCAGAGACUCUUGUGAUAAAGCAGUGUGCCCCCACAGCAGUCAGCUCCAAGGAGCCAGAGCUUGCAGAAUGAGGACAAGGCUGCAUCACUGCCCUGGAAAUUAAGUCCUAAGGGAUAAGGUGCCAUCUACCACCACCAGGGGGAGCCACUCAGCAGAGAACCUAAUCCACCCAGGCCUGUGCAGGGGACGGCCAGCUGUCCCAUGGAAAGAGUGCAUCCACACGCCUGGCCUGUGCUUCCAGUCUGAGGCCCUAGACACCUUCCAGGGCACACAGGUUCACUUGGCAUCCAAUAAUGUGGUCCCAGGAAAAGGUUUUUGGUACAACCAGUAGACAAAACUGGUAAGCAGCUCUCCCCUCAGCCCCUAACUCCAGUGCCCUGCACCAGACACUGGUGCCCCAAGGACACAACAGUCUCCUCCCAAACUGGAAUCUUCAACCUCUGUCCCUACCCAGUCAAGAGCUGGAGCUGAGUUCAAGAUCAUCUCCCACCUCUUUGCCCCUCCCCAGUUUUCAAGAAACCAAAGCAGAAAGAAACAGGCUUGAGACAGAGCUUUGUUAGAACAACUCAGCAAAAUAAAAUUCCUGUUUAUUGUGGACAACAUUGUUUCACACAUACAUCGAACAGGCCAAAAAAAAUAAACAGCAAUUUCAUAGACAAAAAAAGGGAAAAAAAGAAACCUUUUAUCUUUGGCCUUUUUAACCAUCUCAUACAAACCAACUACUUAUAGUACAGCUAAGUACAUACACAAAAAGUUACUGGAAUGCUCGGAAUAAGAUUGUUUUUUUUGUUGUUGUUUUUGCUUUUUUUACAAGGUUUUUUUUCUCCUUUGAGAUUAUAAUGAACAUGGUCACACCACAAGUAAAGUCAGAAGUAGGACAGAGAAUGCUCCAAAGGCUGGUUUGGUCAUCCCAAGAUCAU